AUUGAACGCUGGCGGCAGGCCUAACACAUGCAAGUCGAGCGAGCGGCGGACGGGUGAGUAAUGUCUGGGAAACUGCCUGAUGGAGGGGGUAACUACUGGAAACGGUGGCUAAUACCGCCUACCAUCAUAUGUUCCCCCCUGGGAUUAACUAGUAGGUGGGGUAACGGCGCACCUAGGCGACGACCCCUAGCUGGUCUGAGAGGAUGACCAGCCACACUGGAACUGAGACACGGGCCAGACUCCUACGGGAGGCAGCAGUGGGGAAUAUUGCACAAUGGGCGCAAGCCUGAUGCAGCCAUGCCGCGUGUGUGAAGAAGGCCUUCGGGUUGUAAAGCACUUUCAGCGGGGAGGCGUUACCCGCAGAAGAAGCACCGGCUAACUCCGUGCCAGCAGCCGCGGUAAUAC
rnacentral:rRNA from 1 species